AUGGAGGGUGUCUGCCUGGACCCGCUGGUGCAGAGGGCACAAAAGCUGGGCUGGGGCAGGACAGACGGGCCGGAGCUUAGUGAGUGGCCGUGGGAGGGGCAGGGGGCUCCCACGCAGAAGCUCUGGGCAGCAGCCCUGACCCAUCCGUGCCUGGACUGCAGCGCUGCCUGCUUCCCCCUGGCAAACAGGUGGCGGCCUCCUGACAGAGGAAGCUGGCCCAGGCCGCCGUCUGCAGUUGGGUGCUGUGUGCUGCCCGGAGGGCUCUUUGGGCUGGAGAGAGAAAACAAGAACAGACAGCCAGUGGAGGUGGCUUUGCUGGAGGGACAGACAGUCGAUCAUAGUGGAGCUGGUGAGGGGAAGCUGCACCCAAAAGCCGUGGCCAGGACCCUGGAUCUGACUGCAGGGACACAGAAGCAUGGUGGGCGCUGGGUGAUGAUAGAAUUUCUAACAAAUGCUUUGUUUCUGCUAAAGCGAAUUUGCGCUUCCAUCUCUGGCAUCUCCUCCACUUCCCAGGAGUCGCCAGCCUGUGGGCCUGGGACCGUUUCACACGCCGUCCACGGUCGUGGAAACCCGGCAGCCACAGCAGGCCUGGGCCCACGGUUCCUCCACCCCUCUGUCAGCUCCCAGCAAGUCUUCCUGGGGGGCCCCAGCCCUGAGUGUGAGACCCUCCAGGCUGCUUCUGGACCUCGGGCUGGAGCUGAGCCCAAUCCUGGCUGGAAAUGAGCGCAGGGUCGGCCGCCUGGAGGAAGGCCCUCCAGUCUCCGAGCCCCACCCUGGGGAAUUUGCUGGGACCCCUUGAAGGCCACAGGCCAGACCCCAGGGGUUAAUAAGGGGACAAAGUCCUUGGGUGAACACGUGCAUUUACUAUCUGAGCCAGCGGGCAGCUAGGCUGCUGGGUGAGGGGGUCUCUGGGCUGCUGGGCGGCCAGGCGGGGGCAUCGGGGCAGGAGCUGAGGGCUGCUCUGGGCAACCACCCUGAGCUCCUGUUUACCCACCAGGGGCAGUGCCAGGGUGGGCUGGGCUCACAGCAGGGCCCAGAGGAAGGGGCCCAGGCUGAGCAGGAGCUGCCCGACCGCCUGGCCCCAGAGGCCACGCCACACUGUGGCCGCCUGGUUACAGCGGCUCUUUUCACAGCAGGUCAUGCCCAGCUUCUCAGUCUUCAAGUCAAUCAGUCCAUCCUCAGUUUCUAUGGGGUAAGACCCUCCAGGGAACACAGGAUGGGUGAGGUUCAUAAUCUGGACACACAGGGAGGGCCACAGCCCUUGCUAGUAUAGCUGAACUUCUGCCCUGUGGGCAAGAGAGGAGGGUGUCUGGCACAGGAGGCCCCACCCGACCCCCUCGGACCCGCCCCAGGACCGUCGCCUUCAGGGAACCUUGAAACCAGUGGGGACACCACAGAGACAAGUAGAAGAGAACGGGCAGCGGCCCCAGGCCCCACACCAAGUCUGCGGUCCAUUAGAUGGAGGUCCCUAGCUCUGUCCCCAGAUCUAAGCUUCCACCAGGCCAGGGGGCUCAAGGCAGAGCCCCUGGGAUGCUGCCGGAGAGUGCCCUGCCCACCCCUUACCUGCUACAGACGCUGGGUCCCACCCAGGACUCACCAUUGAUAGUGCAGGUGACCACAGAGGAGGGGCAGCUUUGAGCCUGCAUGUGAUAGGAGACGGGGUGGCACAUGCUGGGGUCCAGGACACCGUAAUACUGGAAGCUCUCAAGGCCCUGGCCUGGGAUGGGGCGGGGAGGGUGCAGGUCAGGGUCGCAGGCUGAAGGGUGGGUUCCAGUCCCUCUCACCAGCACAGGCAGCAGGCCUGGGCAGCGCACAGGUAGGCUCAGGCGCCCUUGGCUACUCAGAAUUGUGGGCAGGGUCCUGCUGGCAUCUGGAGCCCCCAGCAUCGGGAGGGUCUUACUCCCACCUUCAGGCCUCCUUCCCAUCCUCCACCCUCAGCCAGCAGCAGCACAGGGCCAGUGACCUUCAUGGUCUUGGGUAUGGGUGCAUUGAGGGCAGGUGUGGCACAGAGGCUCCGAGCCUGGAAAGAGCUAGGGGAGGCCUUGCACCCCCGAGCCUGGGAACCUCUGCCCCACUUCUGGUUUGUGAUGAGGAACCCAGAUUGCUUGUGUAAAAUGCACACAGCUGAUGGCCUCAUCCCAUCAUCUCACAGUAUGGGAACUGAGGGGUAGAAACCCUUCCUUCCUGAGUUGGCUGCUCUGGAAGGCAGACGUGACCUUGAGCAAGACCCCCCUCACCCCACCCCUUCUCUGCGUGGGGCCUCCCAGAGCUCAGGGUGUGAGCAGAACAGACCCGGAAGGAGGAGAGGCUGCGGUGAGGAGAGGAGGGAGAGGUUGGCCCCUGGGGUGGGAGGACGCCUUAGAAGAAGAAGUUCUGACUCAAUAGAGAGGAGGGUCCUGGACUAGGCCCGAGUUUCAGCUUCAGUUUCCUGGUACAGCACAGUGUCGGUGUCGGAAGCAGGAGAGAAAAGCAGCCAUGAGACUCAGGUCACACCCAGGGCCAGGCCCUUCCUGCUCAGGAUGAGGGUCUCUGGCUGAGCCCACCACUGGCAGGCCUCCGAGCAGACAGAGCCUGGGAGGGGCCAGCGGAGCAACCAGCUCUGACACUGAGACCCCAGGCCAGGCACCCCCUGUUUUCUGUGCAGGGAGCAGAGGCCCCUGUAAUGGGGUGGGACGACAUGGGGGCUCUCUCGGUGGGGGGAUCCAGAACUGUCCUGGCCCCUCCUGGAACCACCCCUGUCCCUCCCCAUCAGUGCCCCCUGCCCACCCCCAUCACACCCACACCCGAAUUUGUUCUUCAGGGAGAAUCAGAAGACACAGGAAAUGAGCCAGGGGUGACUGCAGACUCCGCCCCCCCCCCCCCCAACCAGGUGCUGGGCAGAAGGAAGAGAGGGCUGCCUGGGCUGCGGGGACAGGGCCCUUGAUGAAGACAGAUAAAGGCAGCAGACCUGCAUAAGGAUGGGUCGCCUCUCCGGUGGGUGGUCCCCUCCGAAAAGCAGAAUCCACUCUGCGCCCUCAGGUCUCUGCUUGGAAACUCCAUGGCAUCUGAGAGGAUGGGCCAGUCUUUCAGAAACCCCGAUCCGGUGGAAAAUGCCGCUGCUAUCACAGAGACCCAGAUAAGGGGGAACCGAGGACCGAACUCUGGCCGUGUUCUCUGUUCUGAAUUUCUUCUUGAGAGGCCGGGAGGGAGUCACACCUGUGGGCCACUAAUGUGUGCCCCCAUGCACACAGCACACUUGGCAUAACUCACUCCAUCUUAGAAAGAGACUCCAUUGUAUAUCUUACAGGGCACUUGGCCAACAAGGGUAAGAUGUUUUGCUUAAUAAACAAGUUAAAAAUAAAGCCUGCAUCCAAACAGAUGAGGACGCAAGCAAGCGCAGUCUUCCGACGUCACUUCUCACGGGAGGCCUCUGUGACUGUGGAAGGACAGGCCCCGGCAGAACUCACCAUCUGCCACCUGAGGCUCCACCACCUCGAAGACAUCCUCGCAAGAUCCACAGACUGGCCCAGACCAGGAGGUUUCUGUCUUCUUCUUCUCGUGUCUUCUUCACUCCCCUGGACUGGUUCAUGAACCCUUUCUCCUAUCUCUGUUUCCUCUGGAUGUUAAAUGCUACUUUCUUUGUUGCGGAACGUUAACCUAUAACAUGUAUAUACUGAUUAAGUACACUAUUACGUUGUCGUCUGCAAUAUUGGCUGAUGUGUGGAGUGGCUUGAGCCCGUGUGACUGCAGCUCUCACUACCGAGGGGAAAGGGAGCACUAAGCAGCAUGCCUCGUUGGGAACGCCAUGUGGCUCGUGGCUUUAGGGACUGAAAUAGCCUCAAUAAAAUUCUGACAUCGUGAAAGACACAGGCAUGCUUGGAUGUGAUUAUGUCUAACUUUGCACUGCUCGUGACACCCCAUGUAGUGGUUAAUGAUUUUGCCUGCAACUUCUGCUUUCCUGAAAUGUACCCAUGCCCCUAAAAACCCCAGCUCGUGAGCCACUGGGGAGUUUGGGUCUUAAGCGUGAGCUGUCCGUUCUCCUUGCUUGGUACCAUGCAAUAAAUAUCAUUUUUCCUCUGCUGCAAA